UACGGGAGGCAGCAGUGGGGAAUCUUCCGCAAUGGACGAAAGUCUGACGGAGCAACGCCGCGUGAGUGACGAAGGUUUUCGGAUUGUAAAACUCUGUCUUUUGGGAAGAAAGGCUUCUAUGUAAAUAAUGUAGGAGAUUGACGGUACCAAAGGAGGAAGCCCCGGCUAACUACGUGCCAGCAGCCGCGGUAAUACGUAGGGGGCAAGCGUUGUCCGGAAUUAUUGGGCGUAAAGAGCGCGCAGGCGGUCCGUUAAGUCCACCGUGAAAGCUUACGGCUCAACCGUAACAGGUCGGUGGAUACUGACAGACUUGAGGGCAGGAGAGGAAAGUGGAAUUCCCAGUGUAGCGGUGAAAUGCGUAGAUAUUGGGAGGAACACCAGUGGCGAAGGCGACUUUCUGGACUGUUACUGACGCUGAGGCGCGAAAGCUGGGGGAGUGAACGGGAUUAGAUACCCCGGUAAUCCCAGCCGUAAACGAUGGGUACUAGGUGUAGGAGGUAUCGACCCCUCCUGUGCCGGAGUUAACGCAAUAAGUACCCCGCCUGGGGAGUACGGUCGCAAGACUGAAACUCAAAGGAAUUGACGG
rnacentral:rRNA from 1 species